rnacentral:rRNA from 1 species
CCCAAUGAUAUCUCUAGAAGACAUCUGAAAGGGNUUUAAAGAUUUAUCGGUGAUGGAUGGGGAUGCGUCUGAUUAGCUUGUUGCGGGGUAACGGCCCACCAAGGCUACGAUCAGUAGGGGUUCUGAGAGGAAGGUCCCCCCACAUUGGAACUGAGACACGGUCCAAACUCCUACGGGAGGCAGCAGUGAGGAAUAUUGGUCAAUGGGCGAGAGCCUGAACCAGCCAAGUAGCGUGCAGGAUGACGGCCCUAUGGGUUGUAAACUGCUUUUAUAAGGGAAUAAAGUGAGCCUCGUGAGGCUUUUUGCAUGUACCUUAUGAAUAAGGACCGGCUAAUUCCGUG